UACAGAGGGUGCAAACGUUGUUCGGAAUUACUGGGUUUAAAGGGUGCGUAGGCGGCUUGUUAAGUCAGGGGUGAAAGUUUGCGGCUCAACCGUAAAAUUGCUUUUGAUACUGGCAGGCUAGAAUUAGGAUGAGGUUAGCGGAAUGUGGCAUGUAGCGGUGAAAUGCAUAGAUAUGGCAUAGAACACCAAUUGCGAAGGCAGCUGGCUAGACCUAUAUUGACGCUGAGGCACGAAAGCGUGGGGAGCGAACAGG
rnacentral:rRNA from 1 species